rnacentral:rRNA from 1 species
UUCCAGUAAACUAACUGUGUUACGACUUACCUCUUCUUUAGAAGAGGGUGACGGGCGAUAUGUACACCUAAAUUCAAUUUCGUUCUCAAUUCUUAUUUAAAAACUACUUCCAAAUCCUCUUUCAAUUCUUCUUUGGAACAAAAUCCUUUAAUUAAUUUAACGAGUAAUUAGCUUUGCCUUCGUUACACUCUUCACCUUGACCUGACUUGUAAAAAAAUAUUUGGGCAGAAGAUGAAAAUUCUGCCUUAAGACGGCGGUAUAAAAGAUAAGAAUGAAGUGAAAGUAAACGGGGAAAAUCGAAUAGAAAACAAAUUCCUCUGGUAAGAUGAAAG